GAGUGGCAGGAGAUUAACAUACCCAGGAAGCAAUAUCUGUGAAGUCCUCGUCACUCGGGGCAUCUGGCCCCAACGCGGUCCAAAGCCCAGUUACCUUGAAGUUCUCCACGCAGACCUUGCUGUUCCACAGCCGAGCACAAUGGGAACAGCGCAUGCCGAGCGCAGGGAGGGAACUGAGCAGAACAUGUUUCUCUCUCGGAGUCUUCAUGUGUUCUGCCUCGAAUGUUCAGAACAUUCUGCUCUGGGUGCUGUUCCUGAGAGAAACAGGGAGGCCUCCUCGCCCAUGGGUGAUGAAAUGCCCUUGCCAGGCUCUUCCGCACGUACUGGACAGAAGAGAUCCUCCUGGGUUUGCCUGUUUCAGACUUGGCUAGACAGGAGAAAAUUCUCACACACGGAUCCCUGGUUUGUUCCAAGCCCAGCCCAGGAGACUCAGCAGAGUUUUUUCAGAUGCUUCUUCAGGCCUUGAUGAUCAGCUCUUUUUUGUUGUAUGUAAACAGCUUGAGAUCCAGCCAGUCCCUAAAGAAGUCCUAUAAACGUGAAUGUGCUAGCUAACCAAGAAUGAACAGCCGGCACUGCCUUGGACUCCAUAGACCUGGCUCCGAGACUCCAGGCCAGCGCCCCUGCCCUUGGCCUUCAGCUUGCCAAGGAGCUGAUCCCUUCAAGUGGUUCAUUCUUGUCUGAACCACACCAGCUAUCUUAAGGCCCCGCAGGCUAUAGAAAUGAUUUGGGUGGACACUUAGCCAAAUAAGAAACUCCAUGGCCAGGAAGCUCCCAGAGAGCAAAACUGAAGAGAGGACAUGAAUUAUCAUCCCGAUUUGUCAUCCCUACCUGUGAAAGCAGGCUAGAAUGACAUUUUAAAUUUCCUCACAACAAAUACCCAUAUGUAUCUGUUUCCUAGAAAUUCAUUGGAAGCACUCAUCUGUUUUUAGCCUUUUAUUAUCUAACGGGUGGAGAAUGCUCAAGGUUUAUUAUUUCCACUAAUCUCUUUUUGUUUUCCUUUAAAAUUCCCUUAGACUUGACUUCUGUUUCUGGAAUUCUAGGGCUUGGGAGACUAAAUAAUUGCAUAGUGACAGAAAUGUU